UGGGGAAUAUUGCACAAUGGACGCAAGUCUGAUGCAGCGACGCCGCGUGGGGGAUGAAGGCUUUCGGGUUGUAAACUCCUUUUAACACUGAACAAGGCAUUUUUUGUUGAGGGUAGGUGUUGAAUAAGCGCCGGCUAACUACGUGCCAGCAGCCGCGGUAAUACGUAGGGCGCGAGCGUUGUCCGGAAUUAUUGGGCGUAAAGAGCUCGUAGGCGGUUUGUCGCGUCUGCUGUGAAAGACCGGGGCUUAACUCCGGGGCUGCAGUGGGUACGGGCAGACUAGAGUGCGGUAGGGGUAACUGGAAUUCCUGGUGUAGCGGUGGAAUGCGCAGAUAUCAGGAGGAACACCGAUGGCGAAGGCAGGUUACUGGGCCGUUACUGACGCUGAGGAGCGAAAGCAUGGGGAGCGAACA
rnacentral:rRNA from 1 species